rnacentral:lncRNA from 12 species
UCCUAUAAAACUAACAUUACUUUUCUUUCUUUUUUUUUUUUAAGAAAAGACAAUGGAUAUCCUGCUGCUAAGCCUCACAUUGUUUUGUCCUCUGGUUUUCCUUGGAGGUUUGCUGAUACAUGCGUGUAGAAGGUAUAGAUGGCUGGAAGUCAUAACCACGCCUGUUCCACGUCCUUCAGAUAACAUCAAAACGUGGUUAGCAGAGGAGACUCACCACCAGCAACGUAUGUCAAUGCAAAUGGAGAUGCACUCAGAAGUUACUCUGGGAACAACAGAAGAGAACAGAGAUGAGAACAUUCAACUGCAGAAAUGUUUGAAGGAAUUCAUGUUAGAAGACCUAUAGAGAUGAUAUGCCUUUUUUAUCUGCAUGCAAGUGUACCUUGUACCUUUCCAUGAGGUAGACAAUAUUCUAACAGAUCAAAGAACAGCUGAUGUGGGAAUUUGUCUGAGCCAAAUAACUUGAAGUACUUUGUGCUCUGACGACAUGCAACUCUUAAAAUUAGCUUUGGAUCACAAACACAAAGCAGUGUCUUGCAGUUUGUCUCUAAAAAAACUGAUCUUCAGCCCAGGAAACUCAAAGCAUCUCAGAAAAUAUGAGCUAAUAUUGAGGUCCACUUGUGUUAGAAUGAAAUUAGAGUUAGUGUUUCAUAAUGCUACAAUAGCUUCCAAGUACUCUGUGAUAGAUCAAGUCCUUUUGAAG